UUAAGCUAGAAAGGGCAUACGGUGGAUGCCUAGGCACUAAGAGUCGAAGAAGGACGCGGUAAGCUGCGAAAAGCUGUGAGGAGCUGCAAGCAAGCUGAGAAUCACAGAUAUCCAAAUGGGACAACCCGUCAGUGAUAAUACGCUGACAUCGUAUAUUGAGUCAAGUAGAUAUACGAAGACAACCCGGGGAACUGAAACAUCUAAGUACCCGGAGGAAAAGAAAGCAAAAGCGAUUCCCCCAGUAGCGGCGAGCGAAAAGGGAACAGCCCAAACCGAUUCUUCGGAAUCGGGGUAGAGGACUUCCAAAAAGAAUGGAUGGUUAGCAGAAUGAUCUGGGAAGGUCAGUCGAAGAAGGUAAUAACCCUGUAUGCGAAAGCCAGAAAUUUGGGGAAGGAUCCGGAGUACCACGAAGCACGUGAAAUUUCGUGGGAAGCAGGGGGGACCACCCUCCAAGGCUAAAUACUCCUUAGUGACCGAUAGUGAACAAGUACCGUGAGGGAAAGGUGAAAAGAACCCCGGAAGGGGAGUGAAAAAGAACCUGAAACCGUAUGCUUACAAGCUGUCACAGCACCAUACGAGUGUAGUGGCGUACUUUUUGUAGAACGGACCGGCGAGUUACGAUGUCAAGCGAGGUUAAGAUGAGAAGUCGGAGCCGAAGCGAAAGCGAGUCUGAAGAGGGCGAAAGUUUGACAUAGUAGACCCGAAACCGGGUGAUCUACCCAUGAGCAGGAUGAAGCGUUAGUAAAAUAACGUGGAGGUCCGAACCAGGUAUCGUUGAAAAGAUAUUGGAUGACUUGUGGGUAGGGGUGAAAUUCCAAUCGAACCCGGAGAUAGCUGGUUCUCCUCGAAAUAGCUUUAGGGCUAGCCUUGAAUUAGAUUAUGGGAGGUAGAGCACUGAAUAGGCUAGGGGGCUUCACCGCCUACCGAACCUUAUCAAACUACGAAUGCCGAUAAUUGAUGUUCAGGAGUCAGACUGUGGGGGAUAAGCUUCAUGGUCAAAAGGGAAACAGCCCAGACCGCCGGCUAAGGUCCCAAAGUGUGUGUUAAGUGGAAAAGGAUGUGAAAUCGCUCAGACAACCAGGAUGUUGGCUCAGAAGCAGCCACCAUUAAAAGAGUGCGUAAUAGCUCACUGGUCCAGGGGUUUUGCGCCGAAAAUGUAACGGGGCUCAAACACACCACCGAAGCCGCGGAAUGUUUUAGGACAUUGGUAGAGGAGCGUUCUUAAUGCGACGAAGGCGUACCGAGAGGAGCGUUGGAGCGUUAAGAAGUGAGAAUGCCGGUAUUAGUAUGCGAAAAGGCAGGUGAGAAUCCUGCCCGCCGAAAAUCUAAGGAUUCCUGGGGAAGGCUCGUCCGCCCAGGGUAAGUCGGGACCUAAGGCGAGGCCGAAAGGCGUAGUCGAUGGGAAACUGGUAGAUAUUCCAGUACCAGCGGAGGUCAAUUGAGUGAAGUAGUGAAGCAGAAGGAUAGGGAGAGCGCCCAGUUGGUGAGGCGUUUAAGUAAGUAGGGUGAUGUGCAGGCAAAUCCACACAUCGAGAGCCUGAGAUACGAAUACGAGUGAAAACUAGUAGCGAAGUCCCCGAUUCCCGGCUGCCAAGAAAAGCUGCUAACGAGACCGAAGGUGCCCGUACCGCAAACCGACACAGGUAGAUGGGGUGAGAAACCUAAGGCGCGCGAGAAAACUCUUGUUAAGGAACUCGGCAAAAUGAACCCGUAACUUCGGGAGAAGGGUUGCUCAUUAGUGUGAGUAUCCGUGCGAUACAGAGCACAGAUGAGUCGCAGAGAAAAGGUCCAGGCGACUGUUUAGCAAAAACACAGGUCAUUGCAAAACCGCAAGGUGAAGUAUAAUGGCUGACGCCUGCCCGGUGCUGGAAGGUUAAGGGGAAGAGUGAGAGCUUUGAACCGAAGCCCCAGUAAACGGCGGCCGUAACUAUAACGGUCCUAAGGUAGCGAAAUUCCUUGUCGGGUAAGUUCCGACCCG
rnacentral:rRNA from 1 species